rnacentral:rRNA from 1 species
UACGGAGGAUGCGAGCGUUAUCCGGAUUUAUUGGGUUUAAAGGGUGCGUAGGCGGAUCGUUAAGUCAGUGGUCAAAUUGAGGGGCUCAACCCCUUCCCGCCAUUGAAACUGGCGAUCUUGAGUGGAAGAGAAGUAUGCGGAAUGCGUGGUGUAGCGGUGAAAUGCAUAGAUAUCACGCAGAACCCCGAUUGCGAAGGCAGCAUGCCGGCUUCCUACUGACGCUGAGGCUCGAAAGCGUGGGGAGCAAACAGG